UUGGAGGGCAAGUCUGGUGCCAGCAGCCGCGGUAAUUCCAGCUCCAAUAGCGUAUAUUAAAGUUGUUGCAGUUAAAAAGCUCGUAGUUGAAUAUCGGGAUCAAUGUUUCGGUCAUGCCGUUGGUAUGUACUGAUAUUAUUGAUUUCUCACCUUCUAAAGAACCGUAAUGCCAUUAAUUUGGUGUCACGGGGAGUUAGGACUGUUACCUUGAAAAAAUUAGAGUGUUUAAAGCAGGCUCACGCUUGAAUACAUUAGCUUGGAAUAAUGAAAUAGGACAUCCGAUUCUAUUUUGUUGGUUUCUAGGAUCGAUGUAAUGAUUAAUAGGGAUAGUUGGGGGCAUUAGUAUUCAAUUGUCAGAGGUGAAAUUCUUGGAUUUAUUGAAGACUAACUACUGCGAAAGCAUUUGCCAAGGAUGUUUUCAUUAAUCAAGAACGAAAGUUAGGGGAUCGAAGACGAUCAGAUACCGUCGUAGUCUUAACCAUAAACUAUGCCGACUAGGGAUCGGAUGAUGUUAAUUUUUUAAUGACUCAUUCGGCGCCUUACGGGAAACCAAAGUGUUUGGGUUC
rnacentral:rRNA from 1 species